UUAUCAUUAUUAUAAAAAGUAAGUUAAAAGGGAGAUUGUUGUUUUAGCCUUCGAUGAACUUUUGGAAGGAGGGGAUUGAUGAAGCCCUGUAUGCACUUUCAUUGGUUUACUUAGACCGAGAGUUUAAGCCCUCACUGUUGCCGUUCAUAUCCUUGUGAGAGUCUUCAUUCACUAAUUAAAUGUUCCCAAUUCUUGAUGGGAAUCAAACUGAUGCUGAUUGGUAGAAAGUUGCUUGAAGGCUGACUGGCAACAAAUGUACAUGCAUGUGCCUUCCCAGUCCCCAUCAUCUUUUAUUCUUUUGAGGAAUUCUUCUGCCGAUUGGGAAAUGACUAACACAGAGUUCCUUCCCUCCACUCUAGCCCUUCCAGAGAACCUGCAGCAAGCACAGAGACCAAUUUAGAGCCGCAACAAUCCACGGCCAACACACCAGCAAGCAAAAAAGGACUGAAACGGAAUCAACACCAGCAACCAAGAAGAACGACGGCAAGCUAGAAGAACCAUGAUAUUGACGAACAAGACGAAGCAGCACAGACCCACCACCACCAGAAAAAGGGCCAACGCACCUGAGAACCUUCACAGCCGGCCAGCAAAUGACACAACCUGCCA
rnacentral:lncRNA from 1 species